AUUGAACGCUGGCGGCAUGCCUUACACAUGCAAGUCGAACGGUAACAGGUUAAGCUGACGAGUGGCGAACGGGUGAGUAAUAUAUCGGAACGUGCCCAGUCGUGGGGGAUAACGAAGCGAAGGCUACGCUAAUACCGCAUACGAUCUACGGAUGAAAGCGGGGGAUCGCAAGACCUCGCGCGAUUGGAGCGGCCGAUAUCAGAUUAGCUAGUUGGUGGGGUAAAAGCUCACCAAGGCGACGAUCCGUAGCUGGUCUGAGAGGACGACCAGCCACACUGGAACUGAGACACGGUCCAGACUCCUACGGGAGGCAGCAGUGGGGAAUUUUGGACAAUGGGCGCAAGCCUGAUCCAGCAAUGCCGCGUGCAGGAUGAAGGCCUUCGGGUUGUAAACUGCUUUUGUACGGAACGAAACGGCGAGCUCUAAUACAGUUUGCUAAUGACGGUACCGUAAGAAUAAGCACCGGCUAACUACGUGCCAGCCGCCGCGGUAA
rnacentral:rRNA from 1 species